CCUGAGGGUUCCGCCAUCUUGUACAACAGCGCCACCAACUGGGGAACAGUAUUUUAACCCAUGGGGCUGUGAGGUGCAUUUCAACAUGCUAACCACAGCAAGUAAUAUGUUAUAUUUCCUACCAUGAACUAAACGGAAGUAGGUAAAGUCUCACAGGGCAGAACCAGGGAAGGGCACAGCACUGUCAUGUUGUUGAGGAUUCCCCAAGCUCUGCCUAAUAUUCGGCUGUGGGUCUCCACGUCUGUUUCCACCAGCCACUGGGCGCAGCUUCUCUGAUGACAAUUGGGAUCUGUGAUUUAAUUCUGCUGUUGCAGACCCUCUUUCAUGCUCUUCCCUGAGCCUUGAAGGCAGCAAUAAGAAUGCUCCGUUUACGGCUGAGAUUUCAACAGUCACUUACUCGUAACGCCUCGACCUGUAAGGAGUCUCUGUAAUCACUGCUACCUAUGGCAAGAAGCUUUUCUGACCAAAGGAGAAUCACAUUAAAUGGACAUUGUGCUGUCUUCAUCCACUCCUUUAAUCUUAUGCAGUUUUCCGCAUUAGUGCCAUGCUUCAAACCCUGCCCGGUGUGGUGGGUCCAGACACCUGCUGCGUGAAAACCCCACCUUUCCUUGGGAGAUGAGAAGCAAACCCCUCUGCAGCCUUCGGAUCUGUGACAGAGAGCCACGUGGGCUUGGGUACAAUAAAACCAGAUCAAUCAAAUCAUAUUUUUAGAGCUUGCAGCACUUAGAUACCGUGAUGACUGAUGUUAUGUGUCAAGAUAAUUGACGCUCAGAUAAUUGAUUAUUUCUGGCAUGUCCAUGAAGAUUUCCAAAAGACAUUAGUAUGUGAAUUGAUAAGCAAAGUAUAUCUGCUCUCACAAGGAUCAUCAAAGCCUUUGAGAGCUUAGUAGAUGUCUUUUUAGAGUUACUGUUGCUGUGAUGAAAUACCAUGAGCAAAGAAACUUAGGGAGGAGAGGGUUCAUUUGGUUCACAUGUCCACAGCACUGCUAAUCAUCAAUGGAAGUCAGGACGGGAACUCACACAGGGCAGGAACCUGGAAUUAAGAGCUGGUGCAGAGGCCAUGGAGGGAUGCUGCUUGCUGCCUUGCUCACCAUGGCUUGCUCUCUUGUAGAACGCAGGACACCAGCCCAUGGGAUGACACCACCCACAACGAACUGGGCCUCCUCUAUCAAUCUUUAAUUAUGAGAAUGUGACAGCUGGAUCUCAUGGAGGCAUUCUCUCACUUGAGGUCCCCUCCUUUCGGAUAACUCAAACUUGUGUCAACUUGACAUAAAACUGUCCAAGACAGUAGAAGAAAGGGGGCAGAGAAAAAAAUGCCUUUUCUUUCUAAGCUGGAGUGUCCAUCGUGGAGGAUCAUCUUGGUUGUCAGUAACAUGCCCAGGAUGGGGAGACCUCAAUUCAAGAACUGCCCCUACCAGCUUGGUCCAUGGGCUCAUUUUCAUGAUUGCUAAUUGUCAUAGGAGGGCCCACACCCACCAUGGAUGGUAGGUACCACUCCUAAGCUGAGGGCCCAGGAUGCUCAAGAAAGAUGUGGAGCAUGAUCCUGGCAGAAGGCUCUAUUAUUUUUAAGAAUUUAAGAAAUAUUGCAGUAGGUCUUUGAAACUUUAGUAACAUCCAGCUGCCAUGUUCAGUACCUCAAGCCUCUCUGAUUCUGAUUCAACUAGAUGGCGUAAUUCUAGAAAUCCAUACAUUUCUCCCAGGUUAUCAAAUGUGUUUCUGUAGGGUUAUUCACAAUAGUUUACGAUGACUUUUACAAGUUUUAAUUUUGUUUUAUUUGUGCAUGUUGGAAUGGGUACAUGUAUGUAUUUAGGUAUGUUUGUACAUGUGUGUAUUUUGCUAUUGGCACAUGUGUAUGUUUAGUAUAGAUGGAUGGAUAUGAACACAUGUACAUAUUUGGGUGUGUUUAUGCAUUGUGCAUGUUGUUAUGAGUACAUGUGUAGGUCGAUGUCUAUAUGUAGGUGAGGGCUGGUACAAGUUAGGUCAAGACUCAUGAUUGGACUGUAAAUAAUAAGGCGGGGACAAAGCUUUUGUAAGGUGGGAGAGAAAGGAAAGAGGGAGAUUCAAGACGGAGACAGAGAAGGAGGACCCAGAUGACGUUGGUCUUGAGUUGCCGAGGUAGUUAUGCAUAUUUCUUAAGGGGUGGAUUUCUGUAGGCAAAUUUAUCUUAUCUAGAUGGGCAGUUUAUAUCCUUAUCAAUUGGUUGUGAGUUUAUUGUGUGGAUGUAUUGUAGAUUGAGAAUUUAACAUAUAAACCUGAUUGAUAAAUUACAGCUUAUUGAGUCCUGAUUUCACCGGGUAGUUGGGAGUUUAUACCUUAACUAACAGGGAGUGGUUGCUGAGAGUGUGGGCCGAGUUCCAUGGCAGGGAGCCGCCAUAGGCCAGCCACUGCUCGACUUCUAGAGCCCUGAGUUUAGGUUAGUUGCAUAUGGCCCUUCAGUGCUGGAACUGGCUCUAGGUGCUCAUGGACUGCCUGGGUCAGAGGGUACUUGAGGGCAGUGGAGCUGCUGAGA